rnacentral:rRNA from 1 species
AUGAAUGCAGCGGGAUCUAGUUCCAGUCCGGAUGGUCGCCGUUCUUGUUGGAACCUUAUUUGGUCUUGCGAUGUUCCUCCUACAGUUCGAAACUUUGCUUGGAAAGUCGCUACUAAUGCUUUGCCGACAUGGCAGAAGAAGCACAGUAGGAGUCUGGAGGUUAAUGACCUUUGUCCAAUUUGUGCUGUUGAGCCGGAAGAUAACUUCCAUCCCCUCUGUCGCUGCACUUUUGCUAGAGAAUUAUGGUCAACAAUGUCGGAGGUUUGGUCCUUACCUGACUUGGCUGCUAUUAGAAAUACAGGUAAGGAAUGGUUGCUUCAUGUCCUUGACCCAUUGCCAGAAAUCGAGAGGUGCAUGCUUCUUAUGACUUUGUGGAGGAUUUGGCACAUCCGUAACGAAGUGUUACACCAUAAACCUGCGCCCCCAAUGGAAGCGUCCAGGAGGUAUUUGGUGAGUUACCUUGAUUCCUUGGUUGGUCUUAAAAUUGAUCUAUCUUCUGAUCCGAGCAAAGGGAAGUCCUUAGUUACAUACGACAGGCCACUUAAAAAUCCACAUGUUCGAAUAGUUGAGAGCACUCCUGUCAAAUGGUGUCCCCCUAUGGCGGGUUGGGUGAAACUGAAUACUGAUGGGUCCUUUGCAGUAAAUGGUACGGCUGGUGCGGGGAUGGUGCUGCGAGAUGACAAAGGUAAUGUCAUCUACUCAGCUUGCAGGGAGCUUUUUUCAUGCCGAGAAAUUCUUGAAGCUGAGUUGUGUGCUUGCAUGGAAGGCCUGUCUUUUGCAAUUCAGAGAAGCGACUUGCCGAUCAUUAUUGAGAUGGACUCCAUUAUUGCAGUCAAGCUGAUUCAAGCGAUGGAUAUUGAUAGAUCGAUCUACUCUUCUUUAGUUAAAGAAAUUAGACACCUGAUGUCUCUUCGUGAUUCUUGUAUUACUCAUAUAAAUCGUACGCAAAAUAAGGUUAGCGAUAGCUUAGCAAAGUUUGCUAGACAAGAGGGCAGAACAAUGACCUGGGUUGGGUCAGGCCCAUCAGUUUCUUUGGAGCUAGCCGAGGCUGAUUGUAUGGACAUUGAGAUUUGA